rnacentral:rRNA from 1 species
UACGGGGGGAGCAAGCGUUGUUCGGAUUUACUGGGCGUAAAGGGCGCGUAGGCGGUCAGCACAAGUCAGUUGUGAAAUCUCCGGGCUUAACUCGGAAAGGUCAACUGAUACUGUGCGACUAGAGUGCGGAAGGGGCAACUGGAAUUCUCGGUGUAGCGGUGAAAUGCGUAGAUAUGCGGAGGAACACCGAUGGCGAAGGCAAUCCCCUGGACCUGUACUGACGCUCAUGCACGAAAGCGUGGGGAGCAAACAGG